rnacentral:lncRNA from 1 species
AUUUUUAAUUCAGAUAUUCUUGCAAAUUGUCAGGGAAACAAUGAACUUUCCUCUUGUUCUCUUUCUCUAGAGAAGACUGGACAACUGGAGUUAUGCACACCUAGCAGGAAGACAGUCGAACAUACUGCAGAUGUCUGCAAGUAACAUGCGGAGUUUUUGGUGGCUGCCCUUGGAUUUCAUACAAGUCCAGGGAUCUUAAUGAAAAUGCAGCUGGCUGCUCCUCUUGUGUAUGGACAGCACCUAAUCAUUCUGAAUUUUGAAGAUACAUCUUUUGGCAGUGCAACUGAUGUUUCAAAGACAGGGGUGCAGGAGGAUGGAAGCCAAGACCUCUACGCAGAACAACCAGAACCUUCCCCAAACUGGAGUGGUGAGAGUUGAAAGAAAGUUUCGCCUUGACAGCAGCUGCCAAAAUCAAAACCUUUGAAAGUUUUUUUGAUGUGAAUCGCAGGAGGUGCAACUACUGGGAUUUGCAUCCAAACAGGAACCCUGCAGAUUUCUUCAAAUCCCGGUGACAAAGGUAUGACAUUUAUGAUUUGUGACUGUUAUUCCACAUGUGUGAAUUGCUAAAACAAAGCCUUCGAAAAGGCAACUUUUAUUUGUGACUGAUGCAGUUUGUAAACAAGAAAGCACCACCGCUGAAGUGCUGUCUAGUUUA